UGGCGUAUAUUAAAGUUGUUGCAGUUAAAAAGCUCGUAGUUGGAUUUCUGGCGGGAGCGACCGGUCGGCCCAUAGUGGUGUGUACUAGUGUUGCAUCCGGCCAUAUUUGCGGAGAGCGUGUGUGGCAUUAAGUUGUCGUGCUCGGGACCCGCAUCGUUUACUGUGAGAAAAUUAGAGUGUUCAAAGCAGGCUUAUGCCUUGGAUAUGUUAGCAUGGAAUAAUAAGAUAAGACUUUGGCGGUCUAUUUUGUUGGUUUGCACGCCAUUGUAAUGAUUGAUAGGGACAGUUGGGGGUAUUCAUAUUUAAUUGUCAGAGGUGAAAUUCUUGGAUUUAUGAAAGAUGAACUACUGCGAAAGCAUUUACCAAGGAUGUUUUCAUUAAUCAAGAACGAAAGUUAGGGGAUCGAAGAUGAUUAGAUACCAUCGUAGUCUUAACCAUAAACUAUGCCGACUAGGGAUUGGCGGUCGUUACAAUCAUGACUCCGUCAGCACCUUAUGAGAAAUCAAAGUCUUCGGGUUCCGGGGGGAGUAUGGUCGCAAGGCUGAAACUU
rnacentral:rRNA from 1 species